UUUUGUAUCGACUGAAUCUGAUUCCACGUAUCCCACUUAACAGAUUUUUUUUUUUCUGUGAGAAAAAUGCGAAUCUUCUAUUGACAGCACUACUGAAACCAGCUACCAUUACAUAUUUGACAGUUCAGGCUUGUCAGUUCAAAUGUGAAAAACAGCUGAAAUUCUGCAAUGUAAAAUUCAUGAAGUGCAAAGAAGCAAGCUUUUCAAAGACCUUCAAAAAAUGCCACGUCUAGUGAUGGGUCCAGCGACACCGAUGCAUUGACACAUGCGCCGGGCUCACAGAGCAAACCACGUGUCGAUGCAUGUGCUGGCUCAUUACGUCACGUGAUUGACACGUGAACUGCAUUGACACAGUCCAGGCUUCUAAUUGACACACCGGCUGCGUUGACACAGUCCAGGCUGCUAAUUGACACAUCGACUGUGUUGACACAGUCCAGGCUGCUAAUUGACACGUGAACUGCACCGGUGCAGUUUAGACUGCAUCGGCUGCUUGGCACAGUACAGGCUGCGCCACUUAGUCCAGGGGGCGUCGACUCAGUGCAGAGGGCGUUGACGCAGCAAAAGCCCGCCGCACAGUGUUUAUAAGGAAGUCGUUUGGCGACACAAUGCCACCUGCCGAAACAAGCCAGACCUCACUCACGCUCGCUUGUCGAAGUUCGUGUCAGUGCAGACUUCGUGUUCGUGCCUUGCCUUCCUUGCCGAUUAUGGAGCAGAGACGCAAAUCAUCCGCCGUGUGGGACCAUUUUGAUGUCCCGGAGAAUAAGGUGAAAUGUCGAAUUUGCCGGGUCGAAUUGUCAUACACUAACAGAAGCACCUCCACCAUGCUGAGGCAUUAUCGGGCCAAGCAUGAGAAUGAAGUUCGCGAUACACCCAGUAUUACGCCAGGUUCCAGGAAGCAGCUGUACUGGAAGGACCAACACACUUCUUUCCCAAACCUCUCCCACCUCGCAAAGGAGUUCCUUUGUACGCCAGCCUCAUCCGUCCCUUGUGAGCGUGUGUUCUCCACAGCAGGAGAAAUCGCUUGUAAAAGACGCAACAGGCUGAAGUUUAAAACAUUGGAGCAUCUUAUUUUUCUCAAUAAAAAUUUGUGAAAUAAAAGCCCACAAGCAUCCUCA